rfam:Leishmania braziliensis MHOM/BR/75/M2904 complete genome, chromosome 5
AGUGCCGCCAGGUAAAGCGGCGAUGGUGUGCCUCAUCCGCGUCGCUUGUUCAAGCGGCACGAGA